rnacentral:rRNA from 1 species
UACGAGGGGUGCAAGCGUUGCUCGGAAUUAUUGGGCGUAAAGGGUAGGUAGGUGGUCUCAUUUGUCGGGGGUGAAAUCCUUGGGCUUAACUCAAGAAGUGCCCUCGAAACGGUGAGACUGGAGUCCUGGAGAGGGUCGUGGAAUUCCCGGUGUAGCGGUGAAAUGCGUAGAGAUCGGGAGGAACACCAGCGGCGAAGGCGGCGACCUGGACAGGUACUGACACUCAACUACGAAAGCGUGGGGAGCAAACAGG